ensembl:miRNA
GGGCCCAGAAGGGGGCGCAGUCACUGACGUGAAGGGACCACAUCCCGCUUCAUGUCAGCGACUCCUGCCCCUUGGUCU